UCAAUUUGCUGACAUCAGAUAUAAACAAAUAACAACAAAGCGAACCAAAAUGUGCUCAGAUUGACAGUAUUAUUUUGCAACCAAAGACAAUGUAGCCUGGAUGGUACCACUUCCAUGCCAAGUUGAGAUACUGAACCGCCUACUCUUUUUUCCCAAUACCGUGGGACAUGUUGUAAACUCCACGGCCAAUCAUGAACAAGCUGGUGCCAGCCAGCGCAAGGGGAAUGGCAACAGAUGUGAUCACAUCGUAACGCCCCUUCAGGUAGGUGUGCUUGGUUAAAUUCUGAAAAUAUUGCUGUUGCUUAAACAGCUUCUCACGUGGCACAAAUGGUGCCUCUGUCAUCCUG
rnacentral:sRNA from 1 species